rnacentral:rRNA from 1 species
UACGUAGGGCGCAAGCGUUGUCCGGAAUUAUUUGGGCGUAAAGAGCUCGUAGGCGGUCUGUUACGUCCGCUGUGAAAACCCAGGGCUUAACCCUGGGCUUGCAGUGGAUACGGGUAGACUAGAGGCAGGUAGGGGAGAAUGGAAUUCCCGGUGUAGCGGUGAAAUGCGCAGAUAUCGGGAGGAACACCGGUGGCGAAGGCGGUUCUCUGGGCCUGACCUGACGCUGAGGAGCGAAAGCGUGGGGAGCGAACAGG